rnacentral:rRNA from 1 species
GAGAGCUUGCUCUUCUGAUUAGUGGCGAACGGGUGAGUUCACGUGAGUAACCUGCCCUUGACUCUGGGAUAAGCACUGGAAACGGUGUCUAAUACCGGAUACGAGCUUCAGCCGCAUGGCUAGGAGCUGGAAAGAAUUUUGGUCAAGGAUGGACUCGCGGCCUAUCAGCUAGUUGGUGAGGUAACGGCCCACCAAGGCGACGACGGGUAGCCGGCCUGAGAGGGUGACCGGCCACACUGGGACUGAGACACGGCCCAGACUCCUACGGGAGGCAGCAGUGGGGAAUAUUGCACAAUGGGCGAAAGCCUGAUGCAGCAACGCCGCGUGAGGGACGACGGCCUUCGGGUUGUAAACCUCUUUUAGUAGGGAAGAAGCGAAAGUGACGGUACCUGCAGAAAAAGCACCGGCUAACUACGUGCCAGCAGCCGCGGUAAUACGUAGGGUGCAAGCGUUGUCCGGAAUUAUUGGGCGUAAAGAGCUCGUAGGCGGUUUGUCGCGUCUGCUGUGAAAACCCGAGGCUCAACCUCGGGCCUGCAGUGGGUACGGGCAGACUAGAGUGCGGUAGGGGAGAUUGGAAUUCCUGGUGUAGCGGUGGAAUGCGCAGAUAUCAGGAGGAACACCGAUGGCGAAGGCAGAUCUCUGGGCCGUAACUGACGCUGAGGAGCGAAAGCAUGGGGAGCGAACAGGAUUAGAUACCCUGGUAGUCCAUGCCGUAAACGUUGGGAACUAGAUGUAGGGGCCAUUCCACGGUUUCUGUGUCGCAGCUAACGCAUUAAGUUCCCCGCCUGGGGAGUACGGCCGCAAGGCUAAAACUCAAAGGAAUUGACGGGGGCCCGCACAAGCGGCGGAGCAUGCGGAUUAAUUCGAUGCAACGCGAAGAACCUUACCAAGACUUGACAUAUACGAGAAC